rnacentral:rRNA from 1 species
UACGAAGGGGGCUAGCGUUGCUCGGAAUCACUGGGCGUAAAGCGCACGUAGGCGGCUUUCUAAGUCAGGGGUGAAAUCCUGGAGCUCAAUUCCAGAACUGCCUUUGAUACUGGGAAGCUCGAGUCCGGAAGAGGUGAGUGGAACUCCGAGUGUAGAGGUGAAAUUCGUAGAUAUUCGGAAGAACACCAGUGGCGAAGGCGGCUCACUGGUCCGGUACUGACGCUGAGGUGCGAAAGCGUGGGGAGCAAACAGG